rnacentral:rRNA from 1 species
UGGGGAAUAUUGGACAAUGGGCGCAAGCCUGAUCCAGCCAUGCCGCGUGAGUGAUGACGGCCUUAGGGUUGUAAAGCUCUUUCGCUCGGGACGCGGUACCGAGAUAAGAAGCCCCGGCUAACUUCGUGCCAGAGCCGCGGUAAAACCGGUUACUCCUACGG